CUGCCCACUGAUUUUAUUAAAGGGCUGCAGUAAAUUGACAGUACAAAGGUAGCAUAGUAAUUAGUCUUUUAAUUGAAGACUUGUAUGAAUGAUUUAAUGAAAUAUGAACUGUCUCUUUUUUAUAAUUAGAAAUUAAUUUUUUAGUAAAAAAGCUAAAAUUUUUUUAAAAGACGAGAAGACCCUAUAGAGUUUUAUAUUUAAUUUAAUUAUAGUUUUUUAUUAAUAUUAAAUAAAAAUUAAAUUAAAUAUUUUAUUGGGGUGAUAGAAAAAUAUAAUAAACUUUUUUUAAAUAUAUAUAUAUAUAUGUAUAUAACCAUUAAUUUAUGAAAUUAUGAUCCAUAAUUUAUGAUUAAAAGAAAAAAUUACCUUAGGGAUAACAGCGUAAUUUUUUUUUUUAGUUCAAAUAAAAAGAAAAGUUUGCGACCUCGAUGUUGGAUUAAGAUAAAAUUUAAAUGUAGAAGUUUAAAAUUUUUGAUCUGUUCGAUCAUUAAAAUCUUACA
rnacentral:rRNA from 1 species